AGGGGCGGACGGGUGAGUAACGCGUGGGUAACCUGCCUUAUACAGGGGGAUAACAGUUGGAAACGACUGCUAAUACCGCAUAAGCGCACGGUAUCGCAUGAUACAGUGUGAAAGACUCUGGUGGUAUAAGAUGGACCCGCGUCUGAUUAGCUAGUUGGUGGGGUAACGGCCCACCAAGGCGACGAUCAGUAGCCGACCUGAGAGGGUGACCGGCCACAUUGGGACUGAGACACGGCCCAAACUCCUACGGGAGGCAGCAGUGGGGAAUAUUGCACAAUGGGCGAAAGCCUGAUGCAGCGACGCCGCGUGAGCGAAGAAGUAUUUCGGUAUGUAAAGCUCUAUCAGCAGGGAAGAUAAUGACGGUACCUGACUAAGAAACACCGGCUAAUACGUGCCAGCAGCCGCGGUAAUACGUAUGGUGCAAGCGUUAUCCGGAUUUACUGGGUGUAAAGGGAGCGCAGGCGGUACGGCAAGUCUGAUGUGAAAGCCCGGGGCUCAACCCCGGUACUGCAUUGGAACU
rnacentral:rRNA from 1 species